GUGAAAGAUCUAACUUGCUAGACAUGCUGCUGACAUGCACAAGUAAUUUCUGCUACAUGCAUCAACUAAGAGUCAUUUCAAGUAUGUUUCACUGUGGAACAGAGCAUAUCUGGAUAACUGGGGAUAAGUUGGAUAUUGGUGAUGUGAUCCCAGUCUCAGUUAGUCUCAGACUUGAUUCUGCAUCCUAGAGGCUGCUUGCCAAACAGAGAGGACCUGAAUUUAAAGACUGCAGUGAUGGGCAGUUUCCUGUCUUGUAUGUAAAGGGAGAAUGAGGUUUUGCAGAAGUAAACGGUUUCCCUAGAACCUCCGACAAAUAUUGGAUCAUACAUUUUGCAUUUCAAUCAAACUAUUUGUGGUUUAUGAACUGUU